UUUGUAUUCAGUCCCAGACAGGACACAGGGCAGUCAAGAUGGCUCCAGUUCAACUUUUAGGAUUUUUGCUGUUCUGCCUCCCAGCCAUGAGAUGUGACAUCCAGAUGACCCAGUCUCCUUCACUCCUGUCAGCAUCUGUGGGAGACAGAGUCACUCUCAGCUGCAAAGCAAGUCAGAGUAUUUACAACAGCUUAGCCUGGUAUCAGCAAAAACUUGGAGAAGCUCCCAAACUCCUGAUAUAUAAAACAAACAGUUUGCAAACGGGCAUCCCGUCAAGCUUCAGUGGCAGUGGAUCUGGUACAGAUUACACACUCACCAUCAGCAGCCUGCAACCUGAAGAUGUUGCCACAUAUUUCUGCCAGAAGUAUAACAGCGGGUCCCACGGUGAUACAAACCAUAGCAUAAACCACCCAGAGAUGCAGAUGUGUGAGGUUGGGUUUUCACAGCUGUUCUUUUGGUCCCAUUACUGACAUAAUGUUCCAGAUGUAGCCAGGCUUUGAAGAAUUUGAAUGGUUUGGGUAUCAGAGGCCCAUGAGAUUGCUCUGUACUGCAUAUGCUUCAAUAGUACGAACAAUACUUAUUCUCUGUAGACUUCAUGAACUAUUGUGGUCAUUUUAUCUGAGGAAUCUAUGUGAUAUUCUCAGAUGGAAUUGUUAUAUAGCAAAAUGUAAACUUAGAUGAUACAAACAAUGUUUGGUGUU